UGGCGGACGGGUGAGUAACACGUGGGUGAUCUGCCCUGCACUUCGGGAUAAGCUUGGGAAACUGGGUCUAAUACCGGAUAGGAGCCAUCUUUAGUGUGGUGGUUGGAAAGUUUUUUCGGUGUAGGAUGAGCUCGCGGCCUAUCAGCUUGCUGGUGGGGUAAUGGCCUACCAAGGCGGCGACGGGUAGCCGGCCUGAGAGGGUGUACGGCCACAUUGGGACUGAGAUACGGCCCAG
rnacentral:rRNA from 1 species